GGGUGGUGCCUGACAAAGGUCACUGUCCAGAGCAGCUGGGCCCGAGGGGAGGGCAUGGCAUUGGCCACGGCUUGGUUCAGCUCGGCUCAGUGACAAGGGAGCCCCUCCCAGGUGCUGGGGGAUCUGAGAUAGUUUGUCAGCAACAUCCGGCCCCAUGACCGAAGUAUUAUGAAGGAACAAUGAAGCUCUUGGACCUAGAAAACAGGGCAGGGGAGAGAAAGGAAUCUAAGGAGAUUUGAGGAACAGAAGUGGACCCAAAGACUAACAAAGGCCCUCAUCGAUCGUUCCAGAGAAGAAUCAAUCAGAAAGGUACACGUCCACUUUGGAAACUGGUUGGCAUUCCUAAUCAUGAACAUGUGGCUCACGCCUGUAAUCCCGGCCUUCAGGAAAGCUGAGGUGGGAGAAUCCCAAGGUCAAGCCCAGCUGGGGCAACUGAGUGACUGAGCAAGGCCUGAUCUCCAAAUAACAAAAGGGCUAGGGAUGUAGCUUAGUGUAGUUGCCCUGGGUUAUCCCUAGUUCCACAGGAAGAAAAACAGCAACAUGAAUUCCCAUGACCAGCCGCUCCACCCCGUGCUACCCAGCAGGAUGUAUUCGUUGUGAACCCAAAACACGCUGCAGAGUGCUGGUGGGCGUGACUGCCCCUGGGGACCAGCCAGGAUGAGAAAUGCUGCUACGUUCACAGCGAGCAUUGACCAGGCACCAGAAUGGGACAAAUCCCAUGAAAUUCGUGUUAAGCAAGCACAAAAGAGAGAACAUCCUGGAUGGUUUUAUUUCUAUAAAAUGCAGACAGCAGGCAAAGCUAUAUUCUGAAGUGAGAGAUUGAUUGAGCUGCAGUUUUCCUUAGGGCUGAGUGGGUAGCAGAUUCAGUUACUAAGAAGGUCCAGAUAUUUUUCCAGUACUAGGGAUCAAACCCAAGACCUUCAUCCCCAUCCUUUUAUCUUUUAUUUUGAAACAGGGUCUUGGUGAGCUAAAUUGCCCAGACUGAGCUCGAACUUCUCAGUCCUCCUGCCUGAGCCUCCCAGAGGCUAGGAUAACAGGCAUGCACCACCACAGCCAGCUGUAAUUCUUGAUCUGUGAGAAGACCACGUGGUUAGUUCCCUUUGGAAAAGCACUGGCUCCAGCGGCCAGGCAGGAAGUGGAGGGGAAAGUACCGCGUUCACGCUUCGCCGCUCCUAGUUGCAAGGCUUCCCAGCUGCCCACUCCCUUCCUUGGCCUCUGCUUUCUUGCAUAAGACACCAGCUUCCCCUUGGCUGUGUCAGCAAGUCACCCUCACCAGCGAUUCCUCAGGCUGUGGCCGACUCUAGGCUGGCAUUUGCAAUCCGGAAGCACUGUUGGCUUCUCGGUUUUUUCCAAGGAAAUGAAAAGGCUCCGAGUUCCCAGCAUCGUGGCUCAGUGGAUCACCACGUCGCAGCUGGGCAAAGGCGCUUUAUCAUCCCAGCAAGAGGAGCAGCCCCCAGCCCCCCACCCGGGAAGGAGGGGUGCAGGGAGGGUGCGGAAGCAGGGAAGGCCGUGAGGUCAGUCUCAGCGCCCACAGCCCCCUUCCCAGGAGGCUGACAGUCAGUGCAGAUGCUGUCCUCCUCCCUGAAAAUCCUGCCCUUCUCCUCCGGGGCUCAGGAUGCUGCUGCAUGGUCACCCCGAGAGCCCCUGCGGGACAGGAGCAGGUCUAGAGGAGCCGAUGGCCAGUCCGAGAACGUGGACAGGGCCCCCCCCCCCGCCUGAGUCUGCAGACUCUGAGGUCCUGCUGGCCCCGCAGAGCCCAACCACUUGUUAAUUACAGAGAGGACUUUAGUCUUUUAUUAGCACAUGUUUGUGAUAGCUAAUGUUGACAUUCCUGUGUGGAGUAGGUGCAUGCACAUAACACAUCCCAAUUCUUUUUCCAUCCCCUUUCUCUCUCCUCCCUCCUCCCCUCUCCGUCUCUGCCCUUCCUGUUUAAGAAAGAUCCAUCUCCCUACUUCCUGUUAUAUAUCUUUUAUUUAUAAUUUGGGUUUCUCAUAUAAAAGAAACCAUGCAAUAUUUAAGCUCUCGUCCCUGAUGUAUUUCACGCAACAUUACGGUCUGAAGAUGCAUCCAUUUUCCUACAAAUGACUCAAGUUUAUCUUCGUGGCAGAGUAGUACUUCGUUGUGUGUAAACACCAUAUUUUCUUUAUCCAUUCAUCUGUAGAUGGACAUAUAGGCUGCUUCCAAGACUUAGCUAUUAUGAAUUGUGCUGCUAUAAACCUGAAUAUUCAUGUAUCACUGUAAUGUGAUGUCUUCAAUGCUUCUGAGAAGAUGCCUAGAAGGGGAAUAGCUGGGUGGAAUGGAAUUUCUAGUUGUAGCUUUUUGAGAAAUCUCCACACUGAUUUCUGUAGUGGUUGUACUCCCGCUGACAAUGUAGAAGCUUCCUUUUUCUUCACAUCCUCAGCAGCAUUUGUUAUUAUUGGAUUUUUUUUUUCUGGUACUGGGAAUCAAACUCAGGACCUUGCACUUGCCAGGCAGCUGCAGCACCACUGACCUACAUCCUUGGCCCUAAUACUGGAUUUUUUUCAUGAUGGUCAUUCUUUCUAGGGUCAUACUUACUGGCAUUUUGUACUUCUUUUUUUUCUUUUUUCUGUGCCAGGGAUUGAACUUGGGACCUUGGGCUUGCAAGGCAGGCACCGUAACCACUGAGCUAAAUCCCCGGCCCAUGUACUUCUUCUAAGAAGUGUCUAUUCAUUUCCCUUGCCCUUUUUUUUUUUUUUUUUUUGAUUAGGACUUUCAUUCAGGGGUCUACUUUUUUGAGUUCUUUAUAUAGUCUAGAUAUUUGUCCUUUGAAGAGUAGCUGACAAAAAAUAUUUUUCCAUUCUGUAGGUUGUCCUUUCACUCUGUUGGUUGUUUCCUUUGCUAUCCAGGAACUUUUAUAAUUUAAAAUAAUCCCAUUCAUUGAUGCUUAAUGUUAUUCUCUUAAUGUAAUCAGGGUUCCGUUCAGAAAGUCCUUGCCUGUGUCUGUAUCUUAAAAGUGUUUUACCUGUUUUAUCUUCCAGCAGAUUGUUUCUGUUUUAACAUUUAGAUCUUUGAUCCAUUUUUAUUUUAGUUGAGUGCAUGGUGAGAGAUGUGGGUCUAGACUCAAUCUUCUGCAUGUGGAUAGCCAGUUUUCCCAGCACCAUUUCUUUUGUUUUGUUUGAUUUUGGGUACCAGGGAUCGAACUUGGGACCUUGCAUUUGCAAGGCAGGCGGCAGAACCACUGACCUAAAUCCCCAGCCCCUCCCAGCACCAUUUAUUAAAGAGGCUCUCUUUCCUCCAGUGUCUGUAUUUGGCCCCUCUGUCAAAGAUCAGAUAGCCAAAUGUGCCCGAGGUUGGUUUUGCAUCCUCUAUUCUGUUCCAUUGAUCCACAAGUCUGUUUUCCUGCCAGUACAAAGCAUCACUGUAGCUCUGUAAUAUAACUUGAAGUCUGGGAUUGUGAUGUCUCCUGCUUUCUCUCAUUGCCCAGUACUUCAUGGUACUUUCACACUUUCCUGUUGAAGUGCUUUACUCCUUCUCUUUGGCACAUCUCAAUUGCCAGGGUCACUAUUCUUAUACUUGGUGCCAGGCGUUUUUAAGGAAAAUAAGGGUUACUUGCACAAUUACUGAGAUUCUGAGACAGCUGAUUUGCUAACAGAAUUGGCUGCCAAGUAACCAAUAGGCAGGCAGUGGGCACGACUCAGACACGCUGGACAGAGGAGUGAUUCUCAUCCUGGG
rnacentral:lncRNA from 1 species